UACCAGACUCCUACGGGAGGCAGCAGUGGGGGAUAUUGCACAAUGGGGGAAACCCUGAUGCAGCGACGCCGCGUGGGCGAAGAAGUAUUUCGGUAUGUAAAGCCCUAUCAGCAGGGAAGAAGAAAUGACGGUACCUGAGUAAGAGGCACCGGCUAAAUACGUGCCAGCAGCCGCGGUAAUACGUAUGGUGCAAGCGUUAUCCGGAUUUACUGGGUGUAAAGGGAGCGCAGGCGGCACGGCAAGCCUGAUGUGAAAGCCCGCGGCCCAACCGCGGGACUGCAUUGGGAACUACCGGGCUGGAGUGCCGGAGAGGUAGGCGGAAUUCCUAGUGUAGCGGUGAAAUGCGUAGAUAUUAGGAGGAACACCAGUGGCGAAGGCGGCUUACUGGACCAUAACUGACGUUGAGGCUCGAAAGCGUGGGGAGCGAACAGGAUUAGAUACCCUUGUAA
rnacentral:rRNA from 1 species